GUAUUAAUUUGCUAGUGUAUAUUCAGAUGGCAGCAUGGCAUGUGUAAGGGCUAGGUGGGGGGGUUGGGGUGCACAAGCUCUACUCACUGCGCCUGCCGGCGCAGCAAACAGCACCCGCCAGCGCAACAAACAGCACCCGCCCGCGCAAUAGGCAGCACCUCGCGGUGCCACCAACCACGCCUCGCGGCGCGAUCCAUGGCGCCUGACGGCGCAUCCCAACCCACUCCAAAAGUGCACAGGAACGUGUACCAACAGAUACGGUGAUGAUCCUUCCGCAGGUUCACCUACGAAAA
rnacentral:misc_RNA from 1 species